UACGAAGGGGGCUAGCGUUGCUCGGAAUCACUGGGCGUAAAGGGUGCGUAGGCGGGUCUUUUAAGUCAGGGGUGAAAUCCUGGAGCUCAACUCCAGAACUGCCUUUGAUACUGGACGAUCUUGAGUUCGGGAGAGGUGAGUGGAACUGCGAGUGUAGAGGUGAAAUUCGUAGAUAUUCGCAAGAACACCAGUGGCGAAGGCGGCUCACUGGCCCGGUACUGACGCUGAGGUGCGAAAGCGUGGGGAGCAAACAGGG
rnacentral:rRNA from 1 species